ACUUGAAUAAUUUAAUUUAAAAUAUUGAUUUGUGGUAUCAAAAAUAUGAAUCUUAUUCAUUUCGAGUU
rnacentral:tRNA from 1 species